rnacentral:rRNA from 1 species
GGUUACGGUGUCUAACUACGCGCUAACCUAGAACCCACAAAGGGUGUUGGUCGAUUAGGACAGCAGGACGGUGGUCAUGGAAGUCGAAAUCCGCUAAGAAGUGUGUAACAACUCACCUGCCGAAUCAACUAGCCCCGAAAAUGGAUGGCGCUCAAGCGUGUGACCUAUACCCGUCCAUCUCGGCAAGUGCCAAGCCUUGAUGAGUAGGAGGGCGCGAUGUUCGCUCAGAACUCUCGGGUGUGAGCCUGGUUGGAGCGGGCAUCGGUGCAGAUCUUGGUGGUAGUAGUAAAUAUUCAAAUGAGAGCUUUGAAGGCCGAAGUGGGGAAAGGUUCCAUGUGAACGGUGCUUGCACAUGGGUUAGCCGAUCCUAAGGGAUGGGGUAAUCUCGUCUAAGAGCGCGAUUGUCGUGCGAUCUUCGAAAGGGAAGCGGGUUAAAAUUCCCUUGCCGAGAUGUGGCGGUUGAUGGUAACAUCUGGAAGUCCGGAGAUGUCGGUGGGGGCCCCGUGGAGAGUUAUCUUUUCUGUUUAACGAUCUCUUCGCCCUGGAAAUGGUUCAGCCGGAGGUAGGGUGUAAUGGUCGAAAGAGCGUUGCAUGUCGUGCGAUGUUCGGUGCGCUCCCAGCGGCCCAUGAAAAUCUGGAUGACCGAGUAUCGACCACGCUCGUUCGUACUAAUAACCGCAUCAGGUCUCCAAGGUGAACAGCCUCUGGUCAAUGGAGCAAUGUAGGCAAGGGAAGUCGGCAAAAUAGAUCCGUAACUUUGGGAAAAGGAUUGGCUCUGAGGACUGGGCACGGGGGUCGCGUUCUGGAAUGCGUUGGCUAUCGGCGGAUUGCUUUGGCUGCAUUUGCGGCAAAAGCGAGCUGUUGGCUGUCGACGGAAGGAAGGAUCGUGAAUGGCGACGACGUUAGUCGGCGCCUUCCCCGGGCAUGGAACAGUUGGCUCAGAACUGGUGCGGACAAGG